rnacentral:rRNA from 1 species
GACGAACGCUGGCGGCGUGCCUAAUACAUGCAAGUCGAACGCAUUUUCUUUCACCGUAGCUUGCUACACCGAAAGAAAAUGAGUGGCGAACGGGUGAGUAACACGUGGGUAACCUGCCCAUCAGCGGGGGAUAACACUUGGAAACAGGUGCUAAUACCGCAUAAUUCCAUUUACCGCAUGGUAGAUGGAUGAAAGGCGCUUUUGCGUCACUGAUGGAUGGACCCGCGGUGCAUUAGCUAGUUGGUGGGGUAACGGCCUACCAAGGCUGCGAUGCAUAGCCGACCUGAGAGGGUGAUCGGCCACACUGGGACUGAGACACGGCCCAGACUCCUACGGGAGGCAGCAGUAGGGAGUCUUCGGCAAUGGACACAAGUCUGACCGAGCAACGCCGCGGGAGUGAAGAAGGUUUUCGGAUCGUAAAACUCUGUUGUUAGAGAAGAACAAGGAUGAGAGUGGAAAGUUCAUCCCUUGACGGUAUCUAACCAGAAAGCCACGGCUAACUACGUG